rnacentral:misc_RNA from 1 species
UUAAGUUCAGCGGGUAUGCCUACCUGAUCCGAGGUCAACCAAGAGAUCACACCAGAUGGGGGGGGUGUCUGGGUGAACAGGGCAAGGCCUGGCUGCUGACUGGUCUACGUCUUCACGACACUUACUAAGUCACUCGCCGGGGCCUGUUUGUCCUGCUUAUACAUUUCAGCGGAGCUUUGCUGCAGCCAAAGGGGCCGCAG